ACUCAGGUCCUCUUGAUUACAGGGCCAGUGCUCUACCCACUGUGCCAUCUAGCAGCCCUCAAAUGUAAAGGCUUUAAAAGAAAGAGCUAACCUAAUUAGGCAGAAGACAUUGGGAGAGGGUGUGGGGGUGCUGAUGCCUUCCAUAAUUACCCUGGUCUAGCUAUAAUGCUAUGUGGAGGGAGAGGAAGGGGAAAUAAAAGAUUGCUUAUAUAAUAGAUAGCUUCUUAGGCAUAUUGGAUCCUUCCUUUCCAUGUGGUCACCUACUUGAAAGGCAGUAUGGUGGAAUACAUGUGAAGUCAGAGGACAUGGGUUGAAAUUCUUCUGGUUCUAUACCUCUGUGGCUUUGGGAAAGUAAUUCAACUUAAGUGGGUCUCAGAGGAUAUCAGACAAGGUGGUCUCUAUGAUCUCUUCCAGCUCUAGAUCUCUUGAUCCUAUGGAUCCAAGAAGCCAAAGGGGAGCUUACAGAUGAACCCAACCCCCCCUGCCACUUAUUGGUGGACCUCAGCUGCAGGUCAACAAUAAUGGUGCUGUGAUAUCAGAUUGGAACAGAAGAAGUUGGAGAAAACACCUUAUCCCAGCAAUGCUCUGAGGCUCAGGUGCCUCAGGAUCCCUUUUUUCCUGGAGUUCUAACUUUGAGGGGGUCGGUUAGAGGUGAAGGAAUUUGGUGCUUCCAACCUUAGGAGUUUUGAAAGGUCAGGAGGGCGCCUCAGCAUCCCAGCAUUCCAGAAUGUGGGUUUGCAGAGAAAGUGAACUGUCCUUCCAGACCCCAGCCCAGCAGCAGCUGAUAAGGCCUCAUCCCGCAUCAAUCUCAGCGUGGGACAUGAAUUUAGUAGGAACUGAGCUAAGUUGAGAUAACUUCCCCACAUCCCUAGAGACUGAGAUUCUGUAGGGGAGAAUGGGCCCCAGAUGUAUUGGGAAAGACAUUUUUUCCUUACGAUUUUUGUGAAGUGAAUAUUCCUUUGUAAGUGCUUGUGGGGUCCCAAUUGGUGAAAGCUGUAACAAGGACAUAGUGGCCAGCACACAACCUUGAGUGCCUGGGCACAUUUACCAAAUAGUGCUGGGUAAAUGCCUAGAUAUCUGAGAAUUGGACCCAGUACUAAGUAUAAACUAAAAUAUUAACCAAAUCAUUAACUGAGCAGAAAAACCCCAAAUAUCCACCAAUCCACGAUGAAGCACCCUAUGGCUCCUCUUCCCUUUGUCUGAUUUCUAUAAUUACCAUGAGGAUUUCUGGGAGGUCUUUGUGGAGAUCCACUGAAUUAUCUUGCAGCCAUCCUAGAUUGCCCCUUCUUGUAAGUACUUGUAACGAUCGAUUAAAUGCCUAUAAUCAAUCUGGAGCCCCUUGACCUCCUCCUUUGGUAUCAAACUCAUCCUGCGGUACUGGGGGAGGUACAGGGUUCCCCAGCCAGGGGAAUUCCAGACCUUACAGUGUUUAACAAAGAUGCCAGUUACAGGUCCCUAAAACAGGAGGAACAUGGGCAUGGGAGCACAAGACAAUGAAAAUUAAAGACACCUCAUAAGUCCCUUAGGGUAUACUGGCCCUGAGAGAGAGGCUAAAACAUGCCACACUACACCUACUGUUAUCCUCUCUGCCAAUCACAGCUUGCUUUUUAGGAAAUUGCUCAGAGCUCCAAAGUUAUAGUCAAUGAGAUAAGGUUCUACAUGUCUGUGAGGCUUGGUUAGGAAUGUGGUAUGAGCCCAUCACCUUAAGGUCUGGAUUUCUCACAGGGUUGUCCUACAAAUGCUGCCACUCUUCACUUAGAAAAUUAAAGUGGGUUUGAGAAUUUAGGCAAGUGGCACUUCCAGAUUAAGCUGUGCCCUUCUCUACGUCUGUAGGUGGGGCUCCUGGUGAUGAAGACUCUCAGUGGGUCUGGUGAAAGGCAGCGUUGAAGAGGUGGUCGAGCAAAUACACAAGCCUUGGGUGCAGCCUCAGAUCCAGAGUAAUUGUGGCAUACAGACAGGAGCAGCAUGAAGAUGCUGGUGUACCACCAGGCCCAGAACAUCCUGACCUAGAGGACUCUGCACUGCCCAUGGGAAGAAGUAGCCAUAGCUUUUGAAGAUGGCAGCUACUCACUGACUGCUGGCUCUGAGCAGAGUUGUAUUCAUGGGUAAUGGGAUGGAUGAAAGGAUGUGCUAUCAUUUUCAGGAGCAGAAACUUCCUUUGAUGCUGAAAAGCUUCUAGUGUGUGAAGCAAAGACUUCUCAGUACCCUGUCAUGAUUGUCACUGAUAGAUAGGGAGAGCCUACCUUACUGUCCCCAAAGGGCAGAAGGGAGUUCCCUGAGGGCCUUCAAAACAUUUUUAUCUUAAGCCUGUUAAGAGUGGGAAUGUUCCUGAUACACUCUAGGGAGGAAGAUUGUGAACCCAAGUGUGAGGAGCCUGGAGAGUUACAGUGCCAGGUCACACCCAAGCCCAAGGAUGGGUCAGAGUAGGGAAUGAGGAAUAACAGUAAACGGGGCAGGACUGGGCUGUUGAGGAAAUAAAGAAGAAUGAUGUGCGGCA